GACGGGGGAGCACCACAACGGGUGGAGCUUGCGGUUUAGUUGGAUUCAACGCCGGAAAUCUUACCGGGACCGACAGCAAUAUGGAGGCCAGGCUGAAGACUUUGCCGGAUUAGCUGAGAGGUGGUGCAUGGCCGUCGUCAGUUCGUACUGUGAAGCAUCCUGUUAAGUCAGGCAACGAGCGAGACCCACGCCCACAGUUGCCAGCGUACUCUCUGGAGUGACGGGUACACUGUGGGGACCGCCGCUGCUAAAGCGGAGGAAGGAAUGGGCAACGGUAGGUCAGUAUGCCCCGAAUCUCCCGGGCCACACGCGAGCUGCAAUGGCAGGUACAAUGGGUUCCGACCUCGAAAGGGGAAGGCAAUCUCGAAAGCCUGCCGUAGUUGGGAUCGAGGGUUGUAACCCACCCUCGUGAACAUGGAAUCCCUAGUAAUCGCGUGUCAUUAGCGCGCGGUGAAUACGUCCCUGCUCCUU
rnacentral:rRNA from 1 species